AGCAGCCGCGGUAAUUCCAGCUCCAAUAGCGUAUAUUAAAGUUGUUGCAGUUAAAAAGCUCGUAGUUGAACUUCGGGGUUCACCCAUUGGUCAGGCUUAAUUGUCUGUACUGGUGAGAUGAGUCUCUACCUUCUGAGGAACUUUCAUGCCAUUUAUUUGGUGUGGUUGGAAAUCAGGACUGUUACUUUGAAAAAAUUAGAGUGUUUAAAGCAGGCUAACGUCUGAAUACAUUAGCAUGGAAUAAUGAAAUAGGACGGAUUGAUUCUAUUUCGUUGGUUUCUAGGGUCACCGUAAUGAUUAAUAGGGAUAGUUGGGGGCAUUAGUAUUCAAUUGUCAGAGGUGAAAUUCUUGGAUUUAUUGAAGACUAACUACUGCGAAAGCAUUUGCCAAGGAUGUUUUCAUUAAUCAAGAACGAAAGUUAGGGGAUCGAAGACGAUCAGAUACCGUCGUAGUCUUAACCAUAAACUAUGCCGACUAGGGAUCGGACGCAGUUAAAUUUUAUAAUGACGUGUUCGGCUAA
rnacentral:rRNA from 1 species